UACGUAGGGAGCAAGCGUUGUCCGGAAUCAUUGGGCGUAAAGCGCGCGUAGGCGGCCCUGUAAGUCCGUUGUGAAAGUCAAAGGCUCAACCUUUGAAAGCCGAUGGAUACUGCAGGGCUAGAGUCCGGAAGAGGCGAGUGGAAUUCCUGGUGUAGCGGUGGAAUGCGCAGAUAUCAGGAGGAACACCAAUAGCGAAGGCAGCUCGCUGGGACGGUACUGACGCUGAGGAGCGAAAGCAUGGGGAGCGAACAGG
rnacentral:rRNA from 1 species